rnacentral:rRNA from 1 species
CAGUGUCUGGUGGGUAGUUUGACUGGGGCGGUCUCCUCCUAAAGAGUAACGGAGGAGCACGAAGGUUGGCUAAUCCUGGUCGGACAUCAGGAGGUUAGUGCAAUGGCAUAAGCCAGCUUGACUGCGAGCGUGACGGCGCGAGCAGGUGCGAAAGCAGGUCAUAGUGAUCCGGUGGUUCUGAAUGGAAGGGCCAUCGCUCAACGGAUAAAAGGUACUCCGGGGAUAACAGGCUGAUACCGCCCAAGAGUUCAUAUCGACGGCGGUGUUUGGCACCUCGAUGUCGGCUCAUCACAUCCUGGGGCUGAAGUAGGUCCCAAGGGUAUGGCUGUUCGCCAUUUAAAGUGGUACGCGAGCUGGGUUUAGAACGUCGUGAGACAGUUCGGUCCCUAUCUGCCGUGGGCGCUGGAGAACUGAGGGGGGCUGCUCCUAGUACGAGAGGACCGGAGUGGACGCAUCACUGGUGUUCGGGUUGUCAUGCCAAUGGCACUGCCCGGUAGCUAAAUGCGGAAGAGAUAAGUGCUGAAAGCAUCUAAGCACGAAACUUGCCCCGAGAUGAGUUCUCCCUG